UGUCUCAAAGAUUAAGCCAUGCAUGUCUAAGUAUAAGCAAUUAUACAGCGAAACUGCGAAUGGCUCAUUAUAUAAGUUAUCGUUUAUUUGAUAGUACCUUACUACUUGGAUAACCGUGGUAAUUCUAGAGCUAAUACAUGCUAAAAAUCCCGACUCCGGAAGGGAUGUAUUUAUUAGAUUAAAAACCAAUGCCCUCUGGGCUCCUUGGUGAUUCAUGAUAACUUUUCGAAUCGCACGGCCUUGCGCCGGCGAUGGUUCAUUCAAAUUUCUUCCCUAUCAACUUUCGAUGUUUGGGUAUUGGCCAAACAUGGUCGCAACGGGUAACGGAGGGUUAGGGCUCGACCCCGGAGAAGGAGCCUGAGAAACGGCUACUACAUCCAAGGAAGGCAGCAGGCGCGCAAAUUACCCAAUCCCGAUUCGGGGAGGUAGUGACAAUAAAUACUGAUACAGGGCUCUUUUGGGUCUUGUAAUUGGAAUGAGUACAAUUUAAAUCCCUUAACGAGGAACAAUUGGAGGGCAAGUCUGGUGCCAGCAGCC
rnacentral:rRNA from 1 species